AGCAGCCGCGGUAAUUCCAGCUCCAAUAGCGUAUAUUAAAGUUGUUGCAGUUAAAAAGCUCGUAGUUGAAUUUCGGGAUCAAUUCGUCGGUCGUGCUUUUUGGUACGUACUGGCGUUAUUGGUUUCUCCCUUCUGACGAACCAUGAUGUCAUUAAUUUGGUGUUAUGGGGGUUUAGGACUGUUACUUUGAAAAAAUUAGAGUGUUUAAAGCAGGCAUUAGCUUGAAUACAUUAGCAUGGAAUAAUGAAAUAGGACGUUCGAACCUAUUUUGUUGGUUUCUAGGAUCAACGUAAUGAUUAAUAGGGAUAGUUGGGGGCAUUAGUAUUCAAUUGUCAGAGGUGAAAUUCUUGGAUUUAUUGAAGACUAACUACUGCGAAAGCAUUUGCCAAGGAUGUUUUCAUUAAUCAAGAACGAAAGUUAGGGGAUCGAAGACGAUCAGAUACCGUCGUAGUCUUAACCAUAAACUAUGCCGACUAGGGAUCGGAUGAUGUUAACUUUUUAAUGACUCAUUCGGCGCCUU
rnacentral:rRNA from 1 species